rnacentral:snRNA from 1 species
AUGUUCCCUUUGGCAACAUAUAUACUAAAAUUGGAAUGAUAGAGAGAAGAUUAGCAUAGCACCUGCACAAGUUGGCUUGGGGUGGUGGGAAGGCUCCACAUUACA